CGACCGCUGGCGGCGUGCUUACCACAUGCACGUCGACCGGCAAGGCCCUGCUUUUGUGGGGUGCUCGAGUGGCGAACGGAUGAGUAACACGUGAGUAACCUGCCCUUGACUUUGGGAUAACUUCAGGAAACUGGGGCUAAUACCGGAUAGGAGCUCCUGCCGCAUGGUGGGGGUUGGAAAGUUUCGGCGGUUGGGGAUGGACUCGCGGCUUAUCAGCUUGUUGGUGGGGUAGUGGCUUACCAAGGCUUUGACGGGUAGCCGGCCUGAGAGGGUGACCGGCCACAUUGGGACUGAGAUACGGCCCAGACUCCUACGGGAGGCAGCAGUGGGGAAUAUUGCACAAUGGGCGGAAGCCUGAUGCAGCAACGCCGCGUGCGGGAUGACGGCCUUCGGGUUGUAAACCGCUUUCGCCUGUGACGAAGCGUGAGUGACGGUAAUGGGUAAAGAAGCACCGGCUAACUACGUG
rnacentral:rRNA from 1 species